UAGCUAGUUGGUGAGGUAAAGGCUUACCAAGGCGACGAUCUGUAGCGGGUCUGAGAGGAUGAUCCGCCACACUGGAACUGAGACACGGUCCAGACUCCUACGGGAGGCAGCAGUGGGGAAUUUUGGACAAUGGGGGCAACCCUGAUCCAGCCAUGCCGCGUGAGUGAAGAAGGCCUUCGGGUUGUAAAGCUCUUUCGGCCGGGAAGAAAUCGCAUGGGCCAAUACCCUGUGUGGAUGACGGUACCGGAAUAAGAAGCACCGGCUAACUACGUGCCAGCAGCCGCGGUAAUACGUAGGGUGCGAGCGUUAAUCGGAAUUACUGGGCGUAAAGCGUGCGCAGGCGGUUUUGUAAGACAGGCGUGAAAUCCCCGGGCUUAACCUGGGAACUGCGUUUGUGACUGCAAGGCUAGAGUACGGCAGAGGGGGGUGGAAUUCCACGUGUAGCAGUGAAAUGCGUAGAGAUGUGGAGGAACACCAAUGGCGAAGGCAGCCCCCUGGGUCGAUACUGACGCUCAUGCACGAAAGCGUGGGUAGCAAACAGGAUUAGAUACCCUGGUAGUCCACGCCCUAAACUAUGUCAACUAGGUGUUGGGUGGGUAAAACCAUUUAGUACCGUAGCUAACGCGUGAAGUUGACCGCCUGGGGAGUACGGCCGCAAGGUUAAAACUCAAAGGAAUUGACGGGGACCCGCACAAGCGGUGGAUGAUGUGGAUUAAUUCGAUGCAACGCGAAAAACCUUACCUACCCUUGACAUGCCAGGAACUUGCCAGAGAUGGCUUGGUGCCCGAAAGGGAGCCUGGACACAGGUGCUGCAUGGCUGUCGUCAGCUCGUGUCGUGAGAUGUUGGGUUAAGUCCCGCAACGAGCGCAACCCUUGUCGUUAAUUGCCAUCAUUUAGUUGGGCACUUUAACGAGACUGCCGGUGACAAACCGGAGGAAGGUGGGGAUGACGUCAAGUCCUCAUGGCCCUUAUGGGUAGGGCUUCACACGUCAUACAAUGGUCGGUACAAAGGGUUGCCAAGCCGCGAGGCGGAGCCAAUCCCAGAAAGCCGAUCGUAGUCCGGAUUGCAGGCUGCAACUCGCCUGCAUGAAGUCGGAAUCGCUAGUAAUCGUGGAUCAGCAUGUCACGGUGAAUACGUUCCCGGGUCUUGUACACACCGCCCGUCACACCAUGGGAGCGGGUUCCGCCAGAAGUAGGUAGCCUAACCGCAAGGGGGGCGCUUACCACGGCGGGGUUCGUGACUGGGGUGAAGUCGUAACAAGGUAGCCGUAGGGGAACCUGCGGCUG
rnacentral:rRNA from 1 species